rnacentral:rRNA from 1 species
AGGAAGGCAGCAGGCGCGCAAAUUACCCAAUCCUAAUACAGGGAGGUAGUGACAAGAAAUAACAAUACAGGACUUUUUUAGUUUUGUAAUUGGAAUGAGUUAAGUAUAAACCCCUUUACAAGUAUCAAUUGGAGGGCAAGUCUGGUGCCAGCAGCCGCGGUAAUUCCAGCUCCAAUAGCGUAUAUUAAAGUUGUUGCAGUUAAAAAGCUCGUAGUUGGAUUUCUGUUAAUAAUUUAUAUAUAAUAUUUUUAAUAUUUAUAUAAUAUUAACAUAAUUCAUAUUACUAUAUAUUAUUAUUAGUAUAUGAAAUUUUACUUUGAGAAAAUUAGAGUGCUUAAAGCAGGCAUAUGCCUUGAAUACUCCAGCAUGGAAUAAUAUAAAAGAUUUUUAUCUUUUUUAUUGGUUCUAAGAUAA